GGAGAGAUGGCCGAGUGGCUGAAGGCGCUCCCCUGCUAAGGGAGUAUACGAGAGAUCGUAUCGUGGGUUCGAAUCCCACUCUCUCCGCCA
rnacentral:tRNA from 1 species